rnacentral:rRNA from 1 species
UACGAAGGGGGCUAGCGUUGUUCGGAAUUACUGGGCGUAAAGCGCACGUAGGCGGACUAUUAAGUCAGGGGUGAAAUCCCGGGGCUCAACCCCGGAACUGCCUUUGAUACUGGUAGUCUCGAGUCCGAGAGAGGUGAGUGGAAUUCCGAGUGUAGAGGUGAAAUUCGUAGAUAUUCGGAGGAACACCAGUGACGAAGGCGGCUCACUGGCUCGGUACUGACGCUGAGGUGCGAAAGCGUGGGGAGCAAACAGG